rnacentral:lncRNA from 1 species
GAUGUAUUUACUAUGUAAGCCAUUUUGAAUGAUAAAAUAGUAUUUAGUAAUUAUCUUAUAUUUAUGUAUAUGUAGAAUUCUUAGAUAGUCUGUUAUGGACUGUAGUUAGAUGGACCGUCGAGUAGUCGACGGAGAGAUUUCUGUUGAGAAUAUAGUAGAGUACUUUUGUAAUUUUAAUUUUAAAAAUGUGGCACUCUUACAUCAAGGACAGGCUCAUUGCCCUUAUAACAGAUGUGGCAAUAAGACAUAUUAAUAG